GCUUGAUUAUAAAUACAUUAAUCUUAUCUCAGAAAUUGAUGCUUUGAUAAUCUCUAAAACUAAAAAGAACUAAAGGGGGAUUUUGCAAAAAAUUGAAACUUUUUUAGUUAUAAAAAUAAAUAUAUAUAUCCAUUAACGUCGUUUUACAUUUCAUUUGGAAAAACAAUUUCUAUAAAUAUUGGAAGUUUAUUUAAUUAUUAUUUCAAAUGGUAAAAAUCAACACUAGUCGGGUCGGAUCAGGCGGUAAAGAUCCGAAAAGCUCCAAAUCGUAAAAAAUGAAACCCUAAAAAAUUGAAAUCCUAUAAAUUCAAAGCGAAGAUUGUGCAAUAAAAAUUGUACAGACAAUUUCCUUCAAACCCUAAAACAUGGGGAAGAUUUCUAUCUCGAAGCUUAGAGCUGCAAAACCAUCGACAAUGUCUAAGCCAAAAUUCAAUCCAUUACAAAGAAGGUUUCGUUUAAUAUUCAUUUUGGGGAUUGAAAAUUGGAAAUGAAAUGUUAGCCAUAAACAGGAAUUCCAUCGGAAUCCGAAGCCAGUGAUUUUCGCUGGAAAGCAGCUUCAAGAUGGCCGAACGCUAUUGAAUAUUUACAUUCAAAGAGAUGUUAUGCUGAGGGCUAGGAAUUUGAGGAAGGUAAGGUGCGAUCCUAUCAGUUUGAGGAAGAUCUGUAGAUUGAAGUAUUGUUGCAUAUAAGAUGAUUCUUGUUUCUCACCAAAUACAUCAUCAAAGAGCUAUCUAUCUCACAAAGAGUGAGAAUGUCUACUAAGUUUAGUGUAGAUUUCAACACUUUAAUCUGCACAUAGUAAUCUAAAAAGUAUUAAGGUGCUCUAUUUGAAAACGUGCCUUGAGUAUUAAGGACAGUAUAUUUGUAUAUUCGUCCCACAUAAAAUCUCAUGGGAAUGAAAUUGCUUAGUGUCAAAAGUAACCAACAAAUGCAAACAAAAUGUCAUAGAAUUUGAGGACACAGGUUUACACCUUCCAAAACAAGAAUUUUAUUAAGACAUGGUGAAAGAAGAAGUAAGAGGUGUAUGAAGACCAAAAUUGAGCGUAAUUAGAUUAUUCCAUUUUGUAAUUUGAAACUUGUGGAAAAAUAUGAAAAGGAUUACAAAACUUUAUUCUGAAAAUUAAGAUUGAAUAA